UUCUUGGUGGCUGAGAUUGUAAAGAAUUUGCCUGCAAUGCAAGAGACCCAGGUUCGAUCUCUGGGUUAGAAG
rnacentral:tRNA from 1 species